rnacentral:rRNA from 1 species
CCCUUAGAUGUUCUGGGCCGCACGCGCGCUACACUGAUGAAUUCAACGAGCACUAACCUGUGCCGAAAGGUUCGGGUAAUCUUGUGAAAUUUCAUCGUGAUGGGGAUUGAUUAUUGCAAUUUUUAAUCAUAAACGAGGAAUGCCUAGUAAGCGUGAGUCAUCAGCUCACGUUGAUUACGUCCCGGCCCUUUGUACACACCGCCCGUCGCUCCUACCGAUUGAAUGUGCCAGUGAAAAGUUCGGAUUGGAGAUAGGAGACGGCAACGUAUCCUAUUUCCGAGAAAAUCUUUAAACUUUCCCAUUUAGAGGAAGGAGAAGUCGUAACA